rnacentral:misc_RNA from 1 species
UUGAAUGUAUCGACCGGUUCGCUGCAGGAUGGGCGGAUCGGAGCGCAAACACCCGUGAUGCUGCGCGAGAUAGACCGAGUGCGCAGCGUUAUGGGGUCAAGCGACUAAGUGCAUGUGGUGGAUGCCUUGGCGAUCACAGGCGAAGAAGGACGUGGCAGCCUGCGAAAAGCUGCGGGGAGCUGGCAAACGAGCAUUGAUCCGCAGAUGUCCGAAUGGGGAAACCCGGUCCAAUUUGCUGGCGUGGGCAUCGCGCUUCGAACGAACGGUUGCCGCAGACCUACGGUCUGCGACGGAUGGCCGCCCCGUUCGAUCCCGCAUAGCUCCACCACUUCUUAAGCCUACUAAAGCCUACGCAUCACUGAAAUCAGACACAAGCGCACGGUGGGUGUGUUUGUGUCUGGUUUUGACAACCGGACUGUUCUUUAACAAGGUAGAUCAAGCUGAGUCUUUGAGCUGACAUGGGGUACUUCGGUAGGCCAUGCGGUUCAUAGAUAAAUGUUCUGUGGUGGCGGGUCUCAAUUCCCCGUUGCCACAACGAGUUGUAAUAAACACUGUGACUUAAGCGUCACAACAUCCGGCGGGCAGGUACCUUGAUCGGUACCUGUCUCCAAGUACCCGGCCUGUGUUAAGGGGGUCGGGGAAAAGUCUUCUUGGACAGAUAACUUCGGUUAUAUGGUCAAGUGACUAAGCGUAUACGGUGGAUGCCUUGGCAGUCAGAGGCGAUGAAGGACGUUGUAGCCUGCGAAAAGCGUCGGGGAGUCGGCAAACAGACUUUGAUCCGGCGAUGUCCGAAUGGGGAAACCCGG